rnacentral:sRNA from 1 species
UGCCGCAUCGUCGGCCCCAUCAGGGGUGUU